rnacentral:rRNA from 1 species
AACGAACGCUGGCGGCAGGCCUAACACAUGCAAGUCGAGCGGACCCUUCGGGGUUAGCGGCGGACGGGUGAGUAACGCGUGGGAAUAUGCCCUUCUCUACGGAAUAGUCCUGGGAAACUGGGGGUAAUACCGUAUACGCCCUUUGGGGGAAAGAUUUAUCGGGGAAGGAUUAGCCCGCGUUGGAUUAGGUAGUUGGUGGGGUAAUGGCCUACCAAGCCGACGAUCCAUAGCUGGUUUGAGAGGAUGAUCAGCCACACUGGGACUGAGACACGGCCCAGACUCCUACGGGAGGCAGCAGUGGGGAAUCUUAGACAAUGGGGGCAAACCUGAUCUAGCCAUGCCGCGUGAGUGAUGAAGGCCUUAGGGUUGUAAAGCUCUUUCAGCUGGGAAGAUAAUGACGGUACCAGCAGAAGAAGCCCCGGCUAACUCCGU